AAAGAGAGUAAAGAGAGACAGAUCUAUGGUUGCGAGAUCUACGGAAUCCUAGAAAAUAUUUCCACGCUUACUGGAAUCACGCCUACCACAUUCUGUAAAGCCCCCAGUCUGGGGAACCUCCUGGUGAGUUAUCCACUCUAGAGGCUUGAGAAGUUGGAGGCUUCCUCCAUUGACCAACGUCUGCUAUAUCUUCUUUGCACCCUGCAUACAGACACCUCACUCAAGGUGAGAUGUAGUCCACAAGGCCACCUCACAAGGGCUGUUCUAACUCAGAAGGGCGUUAAACAAGGAUGUAUCUUGGCCCCACUCCUAUUUAACUUCUACACUAGCUCUAUGGUGGGCCAGCUCAGCAAUCCUGAUUUUCACCCUCCAAAACUUGCGGGGAGACACACUGCCAUAUUGUUAUAUGCGGAUGAUGCAUUGCAGACAUCCUCUCAAGGACCCCAUCGGCCUUAGAAGAGCUCUGAGGGCCUUGUUGUUGCACUGCAAGGAGGACUGCCUCAAAAUCAGCUAUCAAAAACGAAAAUCAUGGCCUUUGCCAGGAGGCCCAAGAUCUACUGUUGGAGGAUCGAAGGUCAUAAGAUUGAGCAAGUUGCACAUUUUAAGCACUCAGGAGUAGUUUUCCAAUCUGGCGGCACUAGAAAAGCCCAUGGAGAACACGUGGCUUUAAAUGCCCAGAGAAGCUCCUCUGCUAUUCUUCAAUACCUACGGACAAGAGGAGGUCAUUAUCUACCCACAGCACUUGAACUGUUCAAAGCCAAGCCACAAGCUCAACUCCUCUAUGGUUCUCAGUUGGGUCCCUUUCCCAGCAUUGCGACUCUGGAACGGAUACAAUCCAAAUUCCUGAGGGCAGCACUCUGUGUUCCGAGAUGUGUCCCCAAUGCCACUCUGCAACUGGAGACAGGCCUGAUCAAGAGUGAGGCUAGGGUGUGGGUGACCACUCUUUGUUAUGGGCUCAGAUUAUCCUCUCGCCCAAUUGGCCUUGCCCUCUUAACCCUACACAAUGAUUACCGUUCCAGUUGGAUAUAGACAAUUGAGGCCAAAACGUCUCCUUUCGGCCUCUCCCCACUGACCUUGCUCAGCAUGGACUAUGAUCAGGCAAAAGCAACCAUCAAGCAGCGCAUUACAGACAUUGAGUGCCAAAUUGAUCUUAGCAGUGUCCCAAAAUUUUAUAUCAGUGAUGGGCUUAGAUAUUCUGCUUCUCCUGCAGCACAUCUCAAUCAAAUGGAGGUCCCAAACCACAGAAGGGCAUUCACCUUGGCUCACUGCCAUGGCCUCCUCUCAGCAGUGCUAGAAGGCCGCUAUAGAAGGAUCCCAUUUGCAGAUUGUCUGUGCCCCUGUGGCUCAGGGCAGAUUGAACUACUGAGCAUGUCCUCCUAUAUGGCUCGUUCUAUAGAGACAUUUGUGCCUCUUUUAUUCUUCCACUGUUAAGCAAGUUCCUGAGACAUCCCAGACAGUUCUACAGUUCCCUGCUACUCUCUGACCUUAAUCCUACCAUAACUUAUAGCGCUGCCAGAUACUGUGCGGCUGCAAUCGGCAUCCAUCGGUGGAUGAUGGGCUGUAAGCCUUUUUAGCCCUGAUUUGACCCUGUAAUUGCUCACGCCUCCCUUUUAUGCCUUUUUAAAUUGGUUUUAAUACUCAAUAUAAUUUUUAUUCUGGUUUUGGUAGCUCUAUUAUAUUAUGGGUUUUUAAAGUAUAUUAUUUUAUGUCCCCCUUUUAAUGUCUUUUAUGCAUUUUAUGACUUUUAAACAUAAUAAUGGUAUUAUUAUUAUUUUAUUCAUUUUCAUUUUUAGUAUUUUAGUACUUAUAGCAUUUUUAGUACUCGUAUUUUUAAACUUGUAAUCACCUUCAUACAUUCUUAGUAUUGUUAGUUCUUUUCAUGUUAAUAUGCAUCAUCAUAUAUGUAACCACCUUCUAUUUCCACUUUUAUUUACUCGUAUUCUUUAACAUGUAUUUUUAUGCUGGUCUAUAAUAAAGGAUGGUGAUGAUGACAGAG